CAGCACCACCACCAGAGGCACACAGCUCGUUCACAGGAAUGUUGCAGAACUGCCAGCCAAUGGAUGAUAUAGCAUCCAUGCUGAGGGAGGUGUUGACAAAUGUGAGAUGGUGCUGGACCAACAAACCACUGAGACUGCUUCAACUACAGGAGGUCCAGGUACAGCCUUUGGAUAUUGAGGAAGGUUCACUGCCCCUGAAAGACCUUCCUCAACUGCGAAGUCUGGAGCAAAGGAUGCAACAGAGCCCAGAUUACAAGCAAAAACUGGGCGGAUGUGCACAACUGCACCUGGCAUAUAUUGAAGAGGGUGAUUGCCAACUCCCUGGCAAAGAACCUCAAUUGGAAGGGAGUCAAUGGAAAGACUUCACUGGCAACUCUCCAACUCUGAGAGGUCAUGGUUGCUGCAGUUCAAACAAACCUCUUCACGGCUAAUGCUGCUGAGAUGGAGGUCGAAGGGACCAUGAAGAGGCUGCUCCAGCUGGCAUUGGAUUGAGAGUGUGGGUGCAAGAAAAGACUUUUGCAAAAGGAUCCAGUCUGUGGAUUUUCUCCUCAUGGAGGUGGAAAAAGACUUCUACGGAACCAGCACAAUGAGAUAUGUCAUAUCCAAGUAAGACCUCGACUCAGCACAGCCUUUGCUGAAAGGGUUUUUUUUUUUUUUGCUUUGCUGCAGCAACCACCGUCAUCAUCAUGAAAAUUAGCCACACUAGAACAAAGUUGCUGAAAGGUUCUACAUUGCUGGGCUCUGCUUUAUUCUAUGCUGAUAACUCUUCAGGUCUUUUUUGUUGUUGAGUAUCAAAGACUUGCAGAAACCACCCCAGGAUUUACUCUUUGCCUGCCGAUUUGAGAUGUUUGCUACUGCUGAGCCAUGUGCACUUCGGUUAAAACAGAGCAAGCAGUGAGUCAUCUGGAGACAGCGUCUAGAUCGUGACUGCACUGACAAAAGGACUCGUCUGUGGAAGUUGCCGUCGAUUUGCAGGCAUGCUGGUUGCCGGGGAAACGGAUUUGAAGUUGCACAUAACCGGUGGUGGCUUCUCUGCACUGCAGCAAGAAUCACAUAUCACAGGGCCUGCUGCAGGGAGGCAUGAGGACUGCGGAGGUGGCCAGAGCAAUAAACUACAAUGUCCGUAAUGUAAGACACCUAAGACACUGGUACAGAGAGACAAGGAGGACAGCUGAUCGCCCUUGCAGUGGAAAAUUACAUGUAACCUUGUGUCCCCCCCAGACAUAAUCGAGAACUUGCAAAUGCCUUGGUGGAAGAGUGGGGUAAAAUCUUACAGCAAGAACUGGUAAAUCUGGUGCUGUUCAUGAAGAUGAGAUGCACUGUAGUACUUAAAGCAGCUGGUGGACACCAGAUACUGACAGUUACUUUUGUUAUUCACCUCCCCCAUUUGUU
ensembl:lncRNA